GACGAACGCUGGCGGCGUGCUUAACACAUGCAAGUCGAACGAAGAGCGAUGGAAGCUUGCUUCUAUCAAUCUUAGUGGCGAACGGGUGAGUAACGCGUAAUCAACCUGCCCUUCAGAGGGGGACAACAGUUGGAAACGACUGCUAAUACCGCAUACGAUCUAAUCUCGGCAUCGAGGAUAGAUGAAAGGUGGCCUCUACAUGUAAGCUAUCACUGAAGGAGGGGAUUGCGUCUGAUUAGCUAGUUGGAGGGGUAACGGCCCACCAAGGCGAUGAUCAGUAGCCGGUCUGAGAGGAUGAACGGCCACAUUGGGACUGAGACACGGCCCAGACUCCUACGGGAGGCAGCAGUGGGGAAUCUUCCGCAAUGGACGAAAGUCUGACGGAGCAACGCCGCGUGAGCGAUGACGGCCUUCGGGUUGUAGAGCUCUGUUAAUCGGGACGAAAGGCCUUCUUGCGAAUAGUGAGAAGGAUUGACGGUACCGGAAUAGAAAGCCACGGCUAACUACGUG
rnacentral:rRNA from 1 species